rnacentral:rRNA from 1 species
GAGUUUGAUCAUGGCCAGGAUGAACGCUGGCGGCGUGCUUAACACAUGCAAGUCGAACGGUGAAAGAGAGCUUGCUCUCUGGAUCAGUGGCGAACGGGUGAGUAACACGUGAGCAAUCUGCCCCUGACUCUGGGAUAAGCGCUGGAAACGGCGUCUAAUACCGGAUACGAGCUGCGAAGGCAUCUUCAGCAGCUGGAAAGAACUUCGGUCAGGGAUGAGCUCGCGGCCUAUCAGCUAGUUGGUGAGGUAAUGGCUCACCAAGGCGUCGACGGGUAGCCGGCCUGAGAGGGUGACCGGCCACACUGGGACUGAGACACGGCCCGGACUCCUACGGGAGGCAGCAGUGGGGAAUAUUGCACAAUGGGCGCAAGCCUGAUGCAGCAACGCCGCGUGAGGGACGACGGCCUUCGGGUUGUAAACCUCUUUUAGCAGGGGGGAAGCGAAAGUGACGGUACCUGCAGAAAAAGCACCGGCUGACUACGUGCCAGCAGCGCGGUAA